CCUACGGGAGGCAGCAGUGAGGAAUAUUGGUCAAUGGGCGGGAGCCUGAACCAGCCAAGCCGCGUGAGGGAAGAAGGUACAGCGUAUCGUAAACCUCUUUUGUCAGGGAACAAAGGCUGGGACUAGUCCCCGGAUGAGGUUACCUGAAGAGAAAGCAUCGGCUAACUCCGUGCCAGCAGCCGCGGUAAUACGGGGGAUGCGAGCGUUAUCCGGAUUGAGUGGGUUUAAAGGGUGCGCGGGCGGCCUGUUAUGUCAGCGGUAAAAGCCCGGGGCUAAACCCCGGCGAGCCGUUGAAACUGGCGGGCUGGGGUUGGAAGGAGGUACGAGGAAUGCGCGGUGUAGCGGGGAAUUGCUUAGAUAUCGGGGAGAAACCCGAUUGCGAAGGCAGCGUACCGGCUCCAACCUGAGGCUGAGGCACGAAAGCGUGGGUAUCGAACAGGAUUAGAUACCCUAGUAGU
rnacentral:rRNA from 1 species